rnacentral:lncRNA from 1 species
GCCGGAGGGGCUGCACUGCACCGAGCUUGCACAGGGCGAGGCGGGGGCAGGACCUGGGACCCAGCCACCCCGGAGGAAACCGGAGAGGAAACCAGCUUGGUCUUGCUCUCUGCCUCGUCCCAAUCCCCGGCUCUUACCAAAUGCAGAAAGAGGGAGAGGGUGUGUGCCGCCAAGAAUCAGGAUAUUUCCAGGAAAAUUUCACUCCAAGAGGCUUUCUUGAAUCUCAUUCCUAACAUGUGGGCAGAUGAUUGUCUAAACCACUGAGGGAUGAUGCUGGAGGUAAACAUCUAAUUAAUUAAAGAAAAUCUCCUUCUGCACCCCAACUCCGAAAAUGCCCCGCAGUUGAGAAACACUGACACACACUCACCCACACUCACCCACACACUCACCCACACUCACACACACACUCACCCACACUCACACACACGCGCCCACACUCACACACACACUCACACAUACACUCACACAUACUCACACAUACACUCACACACUCACCCACACUCACACACACACCCACACUCACCUACACUCACACACACUCUUACACAUGUAUUUGUAAAAAAAAACUCCCUGGUGACUGAGUCCUUCGGUCCACCUGCGUUUGUUAAUUCCAGGUUACAAACACCUUGAUCUCCAUCACCCUUCUUCCAAGAAUGUGUGACCACAACCCCUUCGCUCUUCCAAGCAACGUUUGCUCCAACUUAAUAUUCCGGUGCUUUCGGGAACAACAUUUUAAAAUAAACCAUUUUGGCACCUUGUCAAAGUCUUGUCUAAAUUCCUUCAUGACAACCACUCUCAGUGAGAUUUUUAAAACCAAAGGGAGUUGGGGGCAGGGAAAAGAGGAGUUCCCCGUUUAGAGUCCUAAUUUUAA